UGGGGAAUUUUGGACAAUGGGGGCAACCCUGAUCCAGCAAUGCCGCGUGUGUGAAGAAGGCCUUCGGGUUGUAAAGCACUUUUGUUCGGAAAGAAAUCGCCCGGGAUAAUACCCCGGGUGGAUGACGGUACCGGAAGAAUAAGCACCGGCUAACUACGUGCCAGCAGCCGCGGUAAUACGUAGGGUGCAAGCGUUAAUCGGAAUUACUGGGCGUAAAGCGUGCGCAGGCGGUUGUGCAAGACAGAUGUGAAAUCCCCGGGCUUAACCUGGGAACUGCAUUUGUGACUGCACGGCUAGAGUGUGUCAGAGGGGGGUAGAAUUCCACGUGUAGCAGUGAAAUGCGUAGAUAUGUGGAGGAAUACCGAUGGCGAAGGCAGCCCCCUGGGAUAACACUGACGCUCAUGCACGAAAGCGUGGGGAGCAAACAGGAUUAGAUACCCUGGUAGUCCACGCCCUAAACGAUGUCAACUAGUUGUCGGGUCUUAAUUGACUUGGUAACGCAGCUAACGCGUGAAGUUGACCGCCUGGGGAGUACGGUCGCAAGAUUAA
rnacentral:rRNA from 1 species